ACAACAAUUCGAAAAAUCCGGAUGACGUUCUCUCUUGAUCCCAUCGGCCCAAGAGUGAAGGCAGCUGCCGGGCUCUCGUAUUUGACCGCAACGACUCGAGAAAGGAAUACCGAGCCGGACCAUUAGUGUAGUUGAACACGAAGUCAUGAUUCAUUCCCCACCGCUUAUGAAUAAUUAAAACUAGCCACUCAACAAUUUUGUAAAAUGGAACCUGGAAGUACUUCUGUAGCAUAGUACUGUAUAUAACUUGCGAAAUGACACGCACGCCGGCAGAUACACAUACAUGCUCUGAAACCUCAACUGAAAGCACACACAAAUCAGACGCAAACUGGAUACAAUCAGAGAUAUAAAUAAAACCGAUCUAUGCAUGUUCCUAUAGCUAACACAAGAGGCUAUCCGCAAAAAAAAAAGCUAACACAAGAGGCUAUCCGCCCAAAAAAAAGCUAACACAAGAGGCACGGCGCGCAGAGCAGAUCAACACGAGGACCAUCGCAUUGUGCUAUCGUAACUUCACAAGUCCCCACUCUCAUUUGAUCAGGAUCGCAUGGCCUCCGACACAGGCCAAGAAGAGCACGGGGAGAACAGAAACCCACAGCGCCGUCAUCCCGACAGCACGCCGGCGGUGCGCGUCCCGGGACACCCAGAAA
rnacentral:lncRNA from 1 species